CGAAGGCGUGGCCGGUGGCCUGGGCGACGACGAUCGUGCCGUCGCCGGGGGACACGACGGUGGUGCCGGUCGGUUCGAUGCCGACGCCCCUGCC
rnacentral:tRNA from 1 species